AAAUGCGAUAAGUAAUGUGAAUUGCAGAAUUCAGUGAAUCAUCGAAUCUUUGAACGCACCUUGCGCUCCUUGGUAUUCCUUGGAGCAUGCCUGUUUGAGUAUCAUGAAAUCUUCAAAGUAAAUCUUUUGUUAACUCAAUUGGUUUCUACUUUGGUAUUGGAGGUCUUUGCAGCUUCACACCUGCUCCUCUUUGUUCAUUAGCUGGAUCUCAGUGUUAUGCUUGGUUCCACUCGGCGUGAUAAGUUAUCUAUCGCUGAGGACACUGUAAAAGGUGGCCAAGGUAAAUGCAGAUGAACCGCUUCUAAUAGUCCAUUGACUUGGACAAUACUUUCAUGAUCUGAUCUCAAAUCAGGUAGGACUACCCGCUGAACUUAAGC
rnacentral:misc_RNA from 1 species